rnacentral:rRNA from 1 species
UGCGUAGGCUGCUUGAUAAGUCAGACGUGAAAUCCCUCGGCUCAACCGGGGAACUGCGUUUGAUACUGUCGAGCUAGAGUCCUGGAGAGGGUGGCGGAAUUCCUGGUGUAGGAGUGAAAUCCGUAGAUAUCAGGAGGAACACCGGUGGCGAAGGCGGCCACCUGGACAGGUACUGACGCUGAGGUACGAAAGCGUGGGGAGCAAACAGGAUUAGAUACCCCAGUA